rnacentral:rRNA from 1 species
GACAGAGGGUGCAAACGUUGUUCGGAAUCACUGGGCGUAAAGCGCGUGUAGGCGGCUGCGCAAGUCGGGCGUGAAAUCCCGUGGCUCAACCACGGAAGUGCACCCGAAACUGCGUAGCUGGAGUCUCGGAGAGGAAGGUGGAAUGCUUGGUGUAGAGGUGAAAUUCGUAGAUAUCAAGCGGGACACCAGUGGCGAAGGCGACCUUCUGGACGAUGACUGACGCUGAGACGCGAAAGCGUGGGGAGCAAACAGG